UACGUAGGUGGCAAGCGUUAUCCGGAAUUACUGGGCGUAAAGCGCGUGUAGGCGGCUCGGAUAGUCGGGUGUGAAAGCCCUGGGCUCAACCCAGGAAGUGCACUCGAUACUGCCGAGCUGGAGUCCCGGAGAGGAUGGCGGAAUUCUCGGUGUAGAGGUGAAAUUCGUAGAUAUCGAGAGGAACACCUGUGGCGAAGGCGGCCUUCUGGACGGUGACUGACGCUGAGACGCGAAAGCGUGGGGAGCAAACAGG
rnacentral:rRNA from 1 species